GAAUAUUGCACAAUGGGGGAAACCCUGAUGCAGCGACGCCGCGUGAGCGAUGAAGUAUUUCGGUAUGUAAAGCUCUAUCAGCAGGGAAGAAAAUGACGGUACCUGACUAAGAAGCCACGGCUAACUACGUGCCAGCAGCCGCGGUAAUACGUAGGUGGCGAGCGUUAUCCGGAUUUAUUGGGCGUAAAGCGUCCGCAGCCGGUUUAUUAAGUAUAGAAUAAAACUUCGGGGCUCAACCCCGUCUCGUUCUAUAAACUGAUAGACUAGAGUGUGGUAGAGGCAAGUGGAAUUUCUAGUGUAGCGGUAGAAUGCGUAGAUAUUAGAAGGAACACCAGUGGCGAAGGCGACUUGCUGGGCCAUCACUGACGGUCAGGGACGAAAGCGUGGGGAGCGAAUAGG
rnacentral:rRNA from 1 species